UGAUGACGAGACGCUAAGGCGUUGAAGCAGUGUAUGUCAGACUUCCAAGAAAAGCUCGCAAUGUCACAAAUAAAAAUGCCUGUACCAUAACCGACACAGGUGGGUAGGUAGAGUAUACUAAGGGGCGCGAGAUAACUCUCUCUAAGGAACUCGGCAAAAUGACUCCGUAACUUCGGGAGAAGGAGUGCCUUAUUUAUAAGGUUGCAAUAACAAGAUCCAAGCAACUGUUUAUCAAAAACACAGGUCUCCGCUAAGUCGUAAGACGAUGUAUGGGGGCUGACGCCUGCCCAGUGCCAGAAGGUUAAAGAAGUUGGUUAGUGUAUGCGAAGCUGAUGACUGAAGCCCUGGUGAUCGGCGGCCGUAACUAUAACGGUCCUAAGGUAGCGAAAUUCCUUGUCGGGUAAGUUCCGACCCGCACGAAAGGCGUAAUGAUUUGGAUACUGUCUCGGAGAGAGGCUCGGUGAAAUAGACUUGUCUGUGAAGAUGCGGACUACCUGCACCAGGACAGAAAGACCCUAUGAAGCUUUACUGUAACUUGAAAUUGGAAUUGGACUUUGCUUGCGCAGUAUAGGUGGGAAGCGUUGAAAAUAUUCUUGCGGGAGUAUUGGAGCUAUCAGUGAGAUACCACUCUUGUAAUGUUAGAUUUCUAACUUUGAACCAUAAUCUGGUCAAAGAACAGUUUCAGGUGGGCAGUUUGACUGGGGCGGUCGCCUCCCAAAUGGUAACGGAGGCGUACAAAGGUUUCCUCUGAACGGAUAGAAAUCGUAUCUAGAGUGUAAAGGCAUAAGGAAGCUUGACUGUGAGACCUACAAGUCGAGCAGGGACGAAAGUCGGUCUUAGUGAUCUGACGGCACUGAGUGGAAAGGCCGUCACUCAACGGAUAAAAGUUACUCUAAGGAUAACAGGCUGAUCUCCCCCAAGAGUUCACAUCGACGGGGAGGUUUGGCACCUCGAUGUCGGCUCAUCGCAUCCUGGGGCGGUAGUACGUCCCAAGGGUUGGGCUGUUCGCCCAUGAAAGCGGUACGCGAGCUGGGUUCAGAACGUCGUGAGACAGUUCGGUCCAUAUCCGGUGUAGGCGCUAGAAUAUUGAGAGGAGCCUUCUUUAGUACGAGAGGACCGAGAAGGACACACCGCUGGUGUACCAGUUAUCGUGCCAACGGUAAACGCUGGGUAGCUAUGUGUGGAGUGGAUAACCGCUGAAAGCAUCUAAGUGGGAAGCCCACCUCGAGAUGAGUAUUCUC
rnacentral:rRNA from 1 species